rnacentral:rRNA from 1 species
AUCUGCGGCCAUACCCCCCUGGACACUCCUGUAGUCAUCUGAUCUCAGACACUAAGCAGAAAAGGGCCUGGUUAGUGCUUGGGUGGAAGAGCAAGAGAAAGAGAGCUAGCACAUG